rnacentral:rRNA from 1 species
GACGAACGCUGGCGGCGUGCUUAACACAUGCAAGUCGAACGGAAAGGCCCUGCUUGCAGGGUACUCGAGGGGCGAACGGGUGAGUAACACGUGGGUGAUCUGCCCUGCACUUCGGGAUAAGCCUGGGAAACUGGGUCUAAUACCGGAUAGGAGCCAUUUUUAGUGUGAUGGUUGGAAAGUUUUUUCGGUGUAGGAUGAGCUCGCGGCCUAUCAGCUUGUUGGUGGGGUAAUGGCCUACCAAGGCGGCGACGGGUAGCCGGCCUGAGAGGGUGGACGGCCACAUUGGGACUGAGAUACGGCCCAGACUCCUACGGGAGGCAGCAGUGGGGAAUAUUGCACAAUGGGCGCAAGCCUGAUGCAGCGACGCCGCGUGGGGGAUGACGGCCUUCGGGUUGUAAACUCCUUUCGCUAGGGACGAAGCUUUUUGUGACGGUACCUAGAUAAGAAGCACCGGCUAACUACGUG